UCUUUGUGGACAUUUCCUCCCUCUCUCUUACCAUUUAUCUUUAGCUUUUGUUUGACUUUUUAUUUCAAACAUCAAUUUGCAUGUUUAACGGCGUCUGUUUUUCUUGGUACAAGCUCGCUGUGCUGCACGAAGAUCGCACGCACCGCCGGGCUGGCGCAUGCGCGAGACACAGCCUCAGUCUUCCCACUUCCUCUCCCUGCCCCCCUCCUCUCCGCCCCUGCCGCUGGCGGAAGAUGUUCUCCCUGCUGCCUCUUGUGUGUCUUUUAAUUUGAUCUGUACUUUCUCUAUAGUUGGGGCUAUCAUAUAGGAGAAAUGUGCAGUAGCUUGAGCAAUGGGACCCUAAGAGGCCGUCAGGAGACUUCACCCCCGAGACAGGUCACCGCAGACAGCGACCAUCCUUGUCUUUCCAGGCCUGAGCCCCGAUGUGCUGCAGUACGGUCUCUGCGAAGGGGUGCAGGCGCAGGCACCUUGCGCUUGGACUCCCAACCUCCAAGCCCUGAGCCACAUCGAGCACCUCUCCUCCUGAAGGACUCAGUCUCAAGCACACUGCUGCCUUGAUUCCUGAAUUUAAUUUAUUCCACAAUUUGCAAAAGAAGGGCAGUUUGUGUUUGUGCAGGAAAUAUGGCUGUGGCCAUGUCUGUCACUGGACACAUAGUUUGCAAACAAAAACAAAAUUUCACUAAAUGCUUUUGUUUGCAAACCAAACUAUCACAAACAAAAGGGUUGGUGAACCAAGGUGCUACUGUGCGGCCCAUCAGCUAAUGACUUCUUCGUGUCCACUUCCUGCUGCCGGGAUCCCUUUCCCCCUCUGUGAGUCCUGGGCACCUGCUGUGGUUCCAUGAUGUCCUCGGUUCCCAGCUGUUGCUCAGGUCACGAGGGGGGCACCCCAAUUUGUUAGGUCCAGUGGUCACUUCCUAUGUUGGUCACUUUCCUCCUAGCUUGGACACACUUCACUGGGCACUCUGGAGGAGUUAGUAUUGGGCCCAUUUUCCUCUCUACCCACAUAGCCCCUGGACAACAUUGUUUUGCCCUAAGGAUUAAAAUUCCAUGCUAAGA